rnacentral:ncRNA from 2 species
GAUGAGGAUAGAGGUCGCGGCUUUUAUAUUAUUCUGUACGAGAUCCAGAGAAGAUUGAUGACUCCAGAAGAAGGAAAAGCUGCCGAAGUCUGCCGUGUAUUCUCUGUACACACAGGCUGGGGCUGUACCCGACAAGGGACAGAACUGUCACGUUUGCCAGCCGAGCAAGCGUGGUGUGCUAUCUUCCGU